CAAACACUUGACACUUACUAGCUGUGUGACCCUGGUGAACUUUGGAUCCUGGUUGGACCACACCAAAGGAUGUCUGCGCGUGGCAGAUUCAGAGAAGUUCUUGCUCCUCACCUGUAAGGAACUUCAUCAGGUUCCUCUUGGGUCCUUCUUUCUGCGGCCCUUGAGCUGGGGCUUUCUUUGGCUUGGUGACUUGACCUCACCGAGAGGUGGUCCAUACUCUCUCCCCCAGACGGCAAUGCGCAGAAUCCCUAAAUGUCAGUGAAAAGGACCUCUGUGGCCAUCUAUCCCAGCAUGGAGUGAAAAAAGCAAGCCCAUGACCAUGUACUCAACCAGGCAAGCCUGGAAGGCCUCUGGGAAGAGGAAGCUGAUUGCCCUCCAAGGUUGGCAGUUCCGAUUUGGAAUAGUUCUCAUGGCCACACAACGUCCCUUACAUUAGCCUUCGAUUCACAUCCUCACCACUCGCUCGCAGCUCUGCAAACCUUUUAAAGUGUGUGCUCUCGGUACACAAGGCCAGUAGGAGACACUUGCAUUAUUUCUCAUCUGAGUUGCUUUUCAAAUUCCAGUCACAAAGACCAUUCUGUGUGGCAGAAAGAAGAAAGAGAAAGGAAGUAAGAUCGGAGUAGCCAGGUUUCCUUGCUCCCUGCAGGUCAUUGUGAUGAUCCCAGCCACUCCAAGCAAAGGUCCUUCAGUCUGCUUCUCACCCCAUUCACCACACAAAAUCAUUCUUUGUUAUCUUCAGCAUUAAGGGUGAGCCUCAGCUCAAGGUGACCUUUAGUGUUCCUGACAAAUUACAAGAACACAUUACACUUGAAAUCUUCUCACGUCCAUCUCCUGUACAAGGCUUCUCAAAGUAGAAGUUGCUGAACAAACUGUCCCUUUUAGAUCAAAGCCAUUCUCUUUAGAGAAAACCCCAUUAUCUUGCUCAUUGGGAUGAUUUCUCUUUUGUCUUCUGAAUUUCAUGGCCAAGAACUUUCUACCCAAUGGAGACUGUUGUCCCCAGUUCCAUGUUAGGCCAUCGUCUCCCAUUUCAGACUCUUUGGAAUCUUCCCUGUCAGAACCUUAGGUUCAUGUCAGACUUUUAAUGGCAUUCCUCUCUUCUACCAUCGAUCUUCAGACCAAAUGGCCACUCCCUACUUCCCACUAUUUUUAUUUCAGUGACCAGGUCCUUAAGAUUAUUGGUCAAAAUCUGAUCUGGAAGAGUAGCUUCCACUGCUACUCCCUGGGGCAGCUAGG